UACGAAGGGGGCUAGCGUUGCUCGGAAUCACUGGGCGUAAAGCGCACGUAGGCGGAUUGUUAAGUCAGGGGUGAAAUCCUGGAGCUCAACUCCAGAACUGCCUUUGAUACUGGCGAUCUCGAGUCCGGGAGAGGUGAGUGGAACUGCGAGUGUAGAGGUGAAAUUCGUAGAUAUUCGCAAGAACACCAGUGGCGAAGGCGGCUCACUGGCCCGGUACUGACGCUGAGGUGCGAAGGCCAGGGGAGCAAACGGG
rnacentral:rRNA from 1 species